rnacentral:rRNA from 1 species
CCUACGGGAGGCAGCAGUGGGGAAUCUUGCGCAAUGGGGGAAACCCUGACGCAGCAACGCCGCGUGGGUGAUGAAGGCCUUCGGGUCGUAAAGCCCUGUCAGGUGGGAAGAAACUUGUGGAUGUUAAUACCAUCCAUGCUUGACGGUACCACCGGAGGAAGCACCGGCUAACUCCGUGCCAGCAGCCGCGGUAAUACGGAGGGUGCAAGCGUUGUUCGGAAUUACUGGGCGUAAAGCGCGUGUAGGCGGUCAGGCAAGUCAGAUGUGAAAGCCUUUCGCUUAACGGAAGAAUUGCAUUUGAAACUACCUGGCUGGAGUUCGGGAGAGGAGAGUGGAAUUCCCGGUGUAGAGGUGAAAUUCGUAGAUAUCGGGAGGAACACCGGUGGCGAAGGCGGCUCUCUGGCCCGAUACUGACGCUGAGACGCGAAAGCGUGGGGAGCAAACAGGAUUAGAUACCCUGGUAGUCCACGCGGUAAACGAUGGGCACUAGGUGUAGGAGGUAUUGACCCCUUCUGUGCCGAAGCUAACGCAUUAAGUGCCCCGCCUGGGGAGUACGGCCGCAAGGCUAAAACUUAAAGGAAUUGACGG